rnacentral:rRNA from 1 species
GACGAACGCUGGCGGUGUGCUUAACACAUGCAAGUCGAACGGUAAGGCCCUUUCGGGGGUACACGAGUGGCGAACGGGUGAGUAACACGUGAGUAACCUGCCCUCAUCUCUGGGAUAACAGUCGGAAACGGUUGCUAAUACUGGAUAUGAGCUUGCAAGGCAUCUUGUGGGUUGGAAAGAUUUUUUUGGUUGGGGAUGGACUCGCGGCCUAUCAGCUUGUUGGUGAGGUAGUGGCUCACCAAGGCUUCGACGAGUGGCCGGCCUGAGAGGGCGACCGGCCACAUUGGGACUGAGAUACGGCCCAAACUCCUACGGGAGGCAGCAGUGGGGAAUAUUGCACAAUGGACGGAAGUCUGAUGCAGCAACGCCGCGUGCGGGAUGACGGCCUUCGGGUUGUAAACCGCUUUCAAUUGUGACGAAGCUUUUUGUGACGGUAGCAGUAGAAGAAGCACCGGCUAACUACGUG